rnacentral:lncRNA from 1 species
AUUCUCCAAGUCCAGUGGUUAACAGUUCACAGUCAUAUCCUCAAUCACCUUCAAUGAUUUCUGGGCCGUCAUUUUUACCACAAGGCUCAGAAAGAAUAGAACCUAGUUGUAUCAGACCAAGUUUUUCAUAUGGAAUGAUGAAUCAUGAUACCCUGCAGAAUGGACUGCAAUUUGAGAGUUCCCAGAGGGACAGCAGGAGUAUAUCCCGCCAUAUGGAAUGAUGAAUCAUGAUACUCUGCAGAAUGGACUGCAAUGGGAGAGUUCCCAGAGGGACAGCAGGAGUAUGUCCCGGGACCAUGGUUCUAUGAUAAACGAGUUUCAAAACUUUGAUUUGUUCAAGCCUGUAAACAGCAGAGACCAUGAUCAUAUCCCAUCCGAGUUUCCAGCCUGCACGUCUGGACGCAAGUCUCAAAGUGCACUGGCCGAUGAAUUUCCACAUCUUGAUAUCAUCAACGACUUGCUUGAUGAUGAGCAUGGAAUUGGAAGGACUUCGAUGCCCAACACAGGCUUUCAUCAAAGUUAUAACAAUGGGUCACACCAUUAUGCAUUAUAGCCUGUUUGGCCAAGCUUCUCCAAGUUGAAAAGCACUUCUCUUGAUGUCUUUUUUCCAAAGUUGAAGUGUUUGGUCAAGCUUUUAG